ACACAUGGCGCUACAUAGAAAGAAUGCCCUGAGGUGAAGGUGACAGCUCGGCAGUUUCUUAAUACCCUGAACUUGAGCGUGGCCUGCGCCAGAGAAAAUACACGGUGCUUCUUAAAAACAAAAGCCAGCAGCCUGCAAGAGGGCUGUGCCUGCGAGUUCCUGGGAGCAGGAGGGGGCUGUUCCUCCGCCCCUGGCUCCAGUUUCACCCAAGUCACUUCACAGCAGUUGGAAGGAGGUCACCAAUUGUGAGUGUAGGGAGGGGGCGGGGAGGGAGAGGAAGUGGGAUGAAAAGGAAGGCCCGGGUCAGCUGGGAGAGGAGCUCGCGGGCUUUCCGGCGGGCUGGCCUGAAGUGGAAGGGCCCAGGGCUGCCUGCCACCCUCAGAUGCCACGCAGGUGUUGGGAGGGCACCCGUCUGUGGGCUCAGGGACGUGUUCCCACCGACAGGCACAGAAUGGAAAGCACCUUGGGGGAGACGCCCUUCUCCCCAUCUCAGGAGGGAGGCCGGGCCUGCAGACCUCCAGCCCUUCCCCAGCGCUCCCUGUGAGCUCCCUCCCCCCCACCCGCCCCCCACGUGCUGGGGAGCAGGUCCGUUUCCCCACCAGUUUGCCUCUGGUCUUUGUGUUUGCUCUGAGGCCAGGCGCGCCCCCUGCUGCAGGCCUGGGCUCCUGUGUGGAGUUCUCCUUUCAGAUGUUGCUAAAAUGUCUUGAAAGGCUGUGGCCACACCAACAGACGUCGUCCGGCCUUCUUCACACGCAACGAAGCGCCCCGGUGGAAAUGCAGGUACCCGCGGCAGCUUCUCGGCAGCGGGCUUCCUGGGACGGAAGAGACAGGCUCGCCCGAGGGAGACGGAAGCAGGGGAUCUGCUAGAACUCAGCUCGCCUCCUCCUUUCUCAGCAGGGCAGAGAAUCAUGGGCUUGUGCUGACGAAAGCUCCAGAAAAUGGACUCAUUUAACCUUUCCAAAGAUAUUAUCCAAGCUGCAAAAUCUUGGCAAUCUGAAGACCUUUUAAGUCGAUAUACCGAAGAGCUUUAGUCAGGAUUGAAUGCAAAAUGCCAAAAUUUCACUUUUAAAAUCAUCGUAACAUCUAAAUACAACCUAAGCACACUUGUAAACUGAUGCCGAACAGGCACUUGGAGAGCCCUCCCUGCACCCCUUCCUCGCCCCCUCCUUUGUGCAAAUGCUGUUUGCCCAGAACUUCAGCCACUGAAAAUCCUGGGAACUUUCUCUUCCUGGCUGCCAACCUAGCAGUUUGGACUCACAGACGAGAUUUUUAAAUCACUGAGGGAUUUAAGCCUCUCUGUGUCACAGAAAAGCGAACACCCUCCCAGUUGAAGGUGGCCCCAAAGAUGCGGGCCUGGGACCCAGGACUUCUGCAGGAGAGUGGACGCCUGGGUGCCCCCCGCCUUGCCCUGCACAUGAAUAACAGAGUACACCAGUCAUCAUAAGAAGAAAAAUUCACAUUUAAAGUUUGGAAAGCAACAGGACAAAGGUCUGUCUUCAGUGGUGCGUAGACAUGCUCGUGAUUGAAUUGGAAAUAGUUCUCUUUCCUUCUCUCUGACUUCCUAACUGAAAAGCUGCAGCGUGGGGAGAAAGGCUGCUCAGAAGCCUGGAGCCAGAACACGCACCCCGGCUUUCGCAGGGCCGGCUCACUUGGUUAGAAUCAAAGGAAAAGCCUUGUUAUUUGGGAAGCUGGGCGUCCUCACCAAAUUAGGGGAUUUAAUUUGCAGAUAUCUAAGGAGUGCUUUGAAAUGAAAGAUGAACUAAAAUCUGCUCUGAGGCCCGUGAUUUUUCACCAGUGGAGAAGGAUUCUCUUGCUGCUGGACAUACGUGAAAAGCAUCAUCUGAUCUGAAACGCAAGUCCCUGCAAGACAGAGGAGAGACUUUAUAAACAUUUUAUACCAUUCUAUGAAAUCAAUUCGAUUCAGGGCUAGAAUUCAAGAAAUAAUCCAUGGGCAAAUAUAUCUGAUGGUAAACCCAAACGAUUAUAUUGUUACCCUCUUGUACUUUUUUUAAUUUUUUAUUAUUUGAUAUUAUUAUCACAAAAGUCGCUGGAACAGGAUCCAUGAGCUGCUUCUUCACUGCUAGUGUUUUCAGAAGCUGAUGGAUUAUUAAGCUCCAAUUGAAUACUUGAUUUCCAAUGAUUCCAUUAAUUUUUCUGGUUUGUGGUAGGAUUUGAUUUACUUAUUUUGUACUUUAACACACCAAUAAAAAAUAGAUAUUAAG
rnacentral:lncRNA from 1 species